CAGAAGAAGAAGCAGAAGAAGAAGAAUUUACGAUUGGGAAAUCCUCGGUUUCCGUUUACUAGGUCGAGGCAAGCUGAGCAAAAUAUCCAAAAGUACUUUUUUUUUUACACAAGUUUUGGAGCUUAAGCAUCGAACAUCACAUCGCAAGCAAAGAUGAUUCAAACGUUUGCCUGUUGUUGAUGAUUUUUGCACUUCUUCACAUUGGCUUUCAAUUAAACUUGAACAGAAAGUAACAUUUUUGGUUUCCGCACAUUUUGGACUUAUUUUCGAAAACGUGGAGGAAAUGCUAGGUGUUUUUCUCACACUGUGUGAUUUGCUCUUUCAUGUUGCUUCUGGUGUUGAGAUGAACGAAAUGUCAGUGAUGGAAGGAGAUUCAGUCACUUUAAAUACUGAUAGACAAGACAGAAUUAUGUGGGAUUACAAUGAAGAUCGCAUUGUUUACAUCACUGGAGAUCAGACAAUAAUCUGUACAGAUCCAGGCUGUCCUGAGAGCUUCACAGGUCGACUGAAGGUGGACAAUCAGACUGGAUCUCUGAUCAUCACAAACACAGACUCUGGACUUUUUCAUCAACAACCGCUACCAUGAAAAAACCUUCAAUGUUACUGUUCAUGACUACUGAUCUUCUUUCAACCUAAGUCAGAACUCAGAAGUAAGGAUUGGAACACCACUACUAUGCCGUCAAACGUCAUCAUUCGUUGUCUAGCUCUUACAAUACACACAUAUACUGGUGUGCUGGUGUGCAUUAGAGCCUUGAAUUAUCAUUCUGUAUUAAUGAGCUGCUUACGGACACACACAUAUCGGAAAUCGCACAGCUCACACAUCCAGGAGAAAAUAAACUUGUCAAUGCUGCCCCACGACUUUUAUUAAAUACAGUUUAAAUACUGAAUCGCUACAUUACAUUUUCUAGCGACGAGAGAAUACAAUCGCUGUUUUUAAGUAAACUCACUCUAAAAAGAUAAACGAACAGACGCGAAUACACGCAACUUCCAUUUCUCCUUCUCGAAUAGGCAAUAUUUGAGAAAAUGGUUUAGCGAUUUCUAAUUAUUGGGGGGAUUACAGUCUGUAAUGAUAUGACGUUAGCAAAUAUUAGCAAUUUUUUGCAAACAUUUCUUUGAGUAACAUGACCGUUAAUAUGAACUCACAAUUGAAUGUUACAUAAAACAAUUGAUUACUUUUUGUUAUAAUCCUUAUUUAUGCCAAAAAAACCUUACAUUUAUGUGUCUUUUUCUUCGCUGUAGCUGCCAUGUUUCCGAGACACUUCAUACCCCUUCGUUGAAGUGUAGUCCCAAAAAAUCUUAAUUUGAAGGGCUGUCUGGCCCUUCCCCUUACCCCUCCAACCAAAAGAGAAUCGAGACACCCCUACUCCUUCACGUGAACGCGCGAAACGGAGCGGUAGGGGAGAGGGGAAGGGCUAAGGGGUAGAAUUGGGAUUGGGUCGAAAACGGAAGUUUGGAAAGAAAUCUGCAAGAUUUGGCCUUGAAUCACAUCUCUCUCUCACACACACACACACACAUACUCCCUCUCUCAUAAACUAUUUCUUUCACACACACUACCUCACUUUCAUACACAUUAUCUCUCACACACAUACUGUCUGGUCACCAUAAUUGCCCUCUGGACAAGCCUCCAUGUUUAUUCUCUCUCUCUCUCUCUCUCUCUCUCUCUCUCUCUCAUAGACUCACAGCCCUCGUGAUCUUGUUGCUUUACAGUUCAUGUUAUAUGAUAAUUUAUAUGUUAUAGUUUAAGGUGUCUUUUAAAUGUUCUUUUCAGAAGUGUUCAUCUAAGAGAACAAUUUGAAUUGUACAAUACCAAACUAACUCACAUACAGCGUGUGCAUGCUCAAGAUGCUUAUUAGUUCAUGUUACAAUGCAUUGAUAUGACUAAUGUUUAGGUGGUUUUUUUAAGGAUUCCAAAAUUCAAAACAGUGUUCAUCUAACCAGUUAUAAUUUUACAAUUACAAUUUAUGCGUAAUUUACAUUUUUCAUGUGAUUAUUGUGGUUUGUUGUUUACAGUAAGGCUGUAACUGUUAAUCUGGUUAUGGAACCAAACACACUAAAGACUAAUGAUUUGGUAAAUGGGUUUCAAAUAAAUAUUUUCUGUUUUUCUACAGGGACGUCCAUUCAUUGUCAUUUCCACAACACCCAGUCAUUUCCACCACCUCGUAACUCUUUAAAAAAUAUGUACAAAAUUCUAAUCACUCAUUAAAAAUUUCUGCAUAGAUUAUAGGAUAAUGUUCCACUUAAUGCAAUAACUCAACUAGUUAUUUUUCAGAAAUGUAUCUAACCAAUGCAAUAUUAUAUUUCAGGUGGUGGUGGAUAUAAGCUUUGCGUUUGGGCCUCAUGACAAUUAAUUUACUUAAACCACAAAUCUAUGCUAAUUGCGAUAUAGGUAUAAAUUGGUAAAACUAUGUGUGACAGUGGUCUUACAAUGUUACAACGAUCGGAAAAUGUCAAAAACACCAAUUUGUCUUAAAAUGUAAGUGCGUUCUCUUAUGGAUCAUUAAACUAGACUAGUUAUAUUUAACUGUUAGAUUGUGACAGUUUUGAUUUGAACACUUUUUCCCUCCAGUUCACAAGGCCAAAAGUGCCUGUAGUUGAAGAACCACCCUAGGUGUGCAUUACACAAUAUAAAUAUGUAAAUAACUGCUUGAUGCACAACUAGGCAUGGCUUAUCCGUGGUCACUUGUCAGCACUCAAAAUUUAAAGCUGUUAUUGGUGUUUAUGGUACAGUUACCGAAAUGGGAAAAAGGUGGUUAUCUUCAUCAGUUAAAUGAAAUCUGUUCAUUAUAUAACGUAAUCUUGAUUCUUUCAUAUCCACACUUUUUAAUGUUGUGUAAUUUGUUGACCUCAGCAAAAAGAUCCUCCAGCAGCUGUUGAUUUGUGUUGCAGAUGCUACUGCUGCCAAACGAGAUGAAAUGAAGUCAGGGCAGGAUGGAGAAUCUUUCACUUUAGAUCCAGGUGUGAUAAAUAACCCAAAUUAUUUGAUUACAUGGCUUUUUAAUGACACUUGCAUUGCUCAAAUCAGUGGAGAUCAGAGUAAGAUCCGUACAGAUGUUAAUUGUGAAGAUGGUAGUGAGAGAUUCAUAGACUGACUGGAGGUGAAUCAGACUGGAUCUCUGACCAUCAUGAACAUCACAAACACAGACUCUGGAGAAUUACAGACAGCUGUUUAAACAAGAUUGUGUGUGCAAGAUAUGAAAAUAUGUAUUUUCUUCCCAAUUUUCCAAUUCGUCAAAGUCGUCUGUGUAUGUAACUGAGUCAUUAUUAUUCAAACAGGCAGCAGGGCGGAGCUAAGUCAAGUUCAGGUGGUUUUUAAAGGGGUCAUAUGAUGAGAUUUACAUCUCUUCUUUCUCAUGCAAAGAAAGAAGACAUAACUUUUAUUAUCCCAGCGUCAUUUCAUGGAGAAGCUGUGUGUUUCAUUGUGAAAGUGAAACUACUUUAUUUGGCCUUUCAAAAGAGGAGGAGAUAUCCACUUUGUCAUGCCUGGAGCUGAUCUGUGCUGGAAUACAUCAAAUUCACACUCACCGUGGACAAAGCGGAGUCCAGCCCGGGGUCGUCACAUGGGGUUGCCCGCAAUCCCCGGCCGCUCCUUUGUCGAAUCUGCCAACCAUUCUUCGUUAUAGCCACUGGCUUUGCAAGGACAGUCUGGCGCUUCUGUCUCACAGUUUGGAAGUAGGUUUACAUCUGUAAAGGAUUUGCCACUGAUGAUUCAAAUGCGAAUUUUGAGCAGUGUAAAAUAGAGCUUGUUGUUUGUUAUUUCUCCAAUCACAAAUGCAGACAUGGUUUUGUGUUUAUGUGACAUACGACGAUAUACAACGCAACACGUAAAAAGACAGUAGAAGUCAUUAUAAUCAGUAAUUAUGUCCCCACUGGAUGCAACAAUUGCCUCGUUUGAAACCGGUUUUAUUGUUUUUGUCCUGUUAUGCCGGUGCUCUGACUGGGACACGCCAUAACAGUAUAUGUUGAGGGACGUAUCACAACACCAUGGAUAGCUGGCCAAUCAGAGAACACGUCACUUUUCAGAACGAUGAGCUUUGUAAAAAAUUAUGCGUUUCAAAAAGGCGGGGCAUAGAGGAGCAGCAAUAAUGUACAUUAUGUGGAAAUAAUAUUUUAAUGUUUUUGAACCUUAAACCGCAUAAACAUAUGGCAUUACACGAAAUAAUGUUCUUUUCAGCAGCAUCAUAUGACCCCUUUAAACAAUAUUCAUAUGUUAGUCAGACUAAGGCUGUGCUAAUGGCACGUCCCAAUAAAAACUGAGACUGCCACUAAAACACCACCGUGGCAUUAUUUAUUAUUUUAUUUUCAUUGAAAUGGACAGUGAAGAGACAAUGGGAAAUUAGGAAAGAAUUAUCAAACUCACUCAAAUGGUAUUUCACAUACCUUCAAUUACAUAAACAUUGCUUCAAAAAAGGCAAUUAAGCAGUAAACCAGCAAUAAAGUUAGAAACAAAAUGUUACCAGCAAAACCCUGAGUGCUUGACGUUUUUUCAGUGUGUAGAGGGUUUUUUUAAGCUGCUAUAGAGAUCCAAAACAAGAGCAAAGGACAAAUUCUUUGUUUCUUGUCAUUUGCACCAUAAUAACAUUAGAACUGAUGUACUUGACAGAUCAGUUAUUUUGUCCCAUCUGUUAAUGUCCUCUUUUAACUGACUGUUUACAUGAUUAACUCGCCAAAAUGGUUAUUUUGACCAGGAAAUGUAUUUGAUGUAUUUAUAAUCACACAAGGCAUCAUACUGCAAGACACAAAUGCUCUUCAUGUAUUGUAGUUGGCACUGAUGGUUGCGUUAUUUUACUAUUGACAUCUCACUGUUACAUAUUAUGAUAACUUGUGUAGUGUGACAAAAUGUGGUUUUAGAAUGUUACCAUUAGUUGCUUAGUAAUUACGUACCUCAAAUUCACAUGCUCUGGAUAAUCAUGGAAUCACAGUGUUCUGUAUAAACCGUUGUUUCAGUGUUUGGGUGGAAAAAAUUUGAACUUUUCCAAUUUUUAUUAAAAAAGUAUUAAAAUUCCACUCAGGAAAAACUCUGUAGUAAAGCACAAUAUCUAUAUGAUAAUGUGCAAUGCUAGAGCCAUUAUGCACACAAGUCACAUGGUGCUUUCGUCCAAUCAAUGAUACUGAGUAUACAAAUAAAAACAUUACCCGAGGUUUAAGGAUGUAUAGCAUCAGAAUGAAACAUCAUCUUAUGUAUACCAAGGAUUCAAGUGCAGGCAAAAAGCACAGGAUAAGUUAUCAUAAUAAGCAAUGGUAUUAGAGCAACUAGCAAACUUUUUGGGAUGAGAGUGAUGCUGUCAUCUCACAUGCUCAUAUACACACCAUAACAGCCAAAAAUGUGUCAUUUGUGCUCAACAAUUUAACAACAUUAAUAAUAAUUCACCCACCUUUGUGUUGUGCUUUAACUUAUCCACUCUUUAACUGAUAUUUAUACCUUUUUUGACAAAGCGAUCAUUUGAAUAUAGAGCUACAAGUUCAAAAUCUGAUCUAUUAUCAUGCUACAAUAUGUCACUCAUUAAUCAACUUAGCCUAUAAAAUGUAGAAAUUGGAAUACUGGUGAAAUUAUUAAAAAAUUUGUCCAGCCACCCAAACCAAUUUUGAUGUGCAAUCAAAUUCCAGCCGUCUGGCAACACUGGUUCUGUUAUAAUGUGCAGAAGUUAAACAUAGUUUUUAUUUGUACUUUUAUGUGAAUCACAACAGAGUUGUAAUGUCAUCUUGCCUGAAAAAAAAAGAAGAAAAAAAAGGUGAUAUUUCAUGAAGUGCUAUUUAGAUGUGGUGCAGUCUAAUUUCAGGUGAGGAUUUUUCCCCCAUCUUUCUCCUAGUUCUUUCCAUGAAUUGUUUGUGCGA